AGAAGGCCCGUCUAGGUGUACCUGUGCCACAUGUGUAAGAUUGUCAGAAAUUGAUUUUUUUGUGUGUUGUCUCUUUACUCCCCCGCCUACCUCAAUGGCAGAUGUGAAGAACCACCUCAACCAGAUGUGCUUUGCCGCGUCAUGCUAGAACUAUAAUUGCCGGCUGCCGUGCAAAACCACCUUUGGCGAUCAAGAUUGAUGACCUGAUGUCACAUGGCGGCUGGUUAGCCGGCGGCGGCUGGAGCCAUCAUUGACCACGACCGUGCCAGGAGCACCCGGGAAAAGGCGAGGACAUGUUGGUACUGAUGGAAUAAUGUAGAUUGGGUCGUCUUCCUCCAGAAACAUAUUACACAAUAUACUUAAGUCGAUUGAUCCUAUUUGGUAAAAAUGCCCCUCAUUUGCUUGAUUAAACUCUACUUGGUAAAAUUAAUUGAGUUGGGAACAGUAACAUAUAUACAUCUACUAUGUCUGGUAUCUAUCUGGUUAUAUUAAACUGACAGUUUAUUCUUCUUGCUGGAAGGAUAUGUCGUGAAAGAUGAUCCAGAUGCUAUUAAAGUUGUAACCUUUGACUGUCCAUGAUAUGGUUGCUCUUGCUUCAUCUAAAUAGUAUGUCUGGACUGCCAUGAGACCGCGAUUGGUGUAGGAAAUCUUGAAAGCUAUCAUAUUGGUCACAAGAACUUGCAAUACAUCAAUGCACUAUUCUUUUGAAUUUUUUAGUGACACCACAACUACCACCUCUUCACUAAAUGACAGAGGUUGCUAGCAACUGCACCUGGAAAGAUUGUAUUUAGAGGUAUGUUUCCUGUAUCAAGUGCAUGUCAAGGGUUGAAAGAAUUAAUUCGUACAACAUUAUUCACUGGAGGUAGCAUCACGAUGACACAUAAUUAAGGGCUCAUAUUAAUUGGGAGUGUCUAAAAAUUUACCGGCUAUUCUGAUGUUCCAUAAAUCGUUAGUUUACUGAAAAAGGAAGGAGCUACCAUCGCGCUUUGAUUGUGUUCAUCCUGGACUAAUCAUGAUCAAUUUGAUGAGCUCUCCUUUGCUCUGAUGAACUGUACCCCAAAUUCUUCCAUACUCUAAUGAUCUUGUGUUCAAGGAGCAUCAACUACAUGUUAUGUCAGGCUUGACCAUAUCAGGUGAAGGGAGUGACAAGCAAGUACUUUGUUGACAAUGAGGAGAAGACAAGCAAUAUGAAAAGAUAACCAUGUACACAAC